rnacentral:rRNA from 1 species
CGGGACGGGUGAGUAACGCGCGGGUAACCUGCCUCAUACAGGGGGAUAACAGUUAGAAAUGGCUGCUAAUACCGCAUAAGACCACAGUACUGCAUGGUACAGUGGUAAAAACUCCGGUGGUAUGAGAUGGACCCGCGUCUGAUUAGGUAGUUGGUGAGGUAACGGCCUACCAAGCCGACGAUCAGUAGCCGACCUGAGAGGGUGACCGGCCACAUUGGGACUGAGACACGGCCCAG